UCUUCUGCGUUUAAGAACCAUGCUAAAAUUUUCUAAAUCAAGUCGUCUUGGUUUAUGAAAUAAUGCUAGCAGGGUAGUAGGUUGAAGUAGAAUAUUUAGCUCUGCACUGCACUGCAAAUGAGAUGUGGGCAGACCUCUUUCUUAAUGUCCGGUGUCCUGUGUCUCAGAGUCUAGUGCCACAAAU